UGGGGAAUUUUGGACAAUGGGGGAAACCCUGAUCCAGCCAUCCCGCGUGUGCGAUGAAGGCCUUCGGGUUGUAAAGCACUUUUGGCAGGAAAGAAACGUCAUGGGUUAAUACCCCGUGAAACUGACGGUACCUGCAGAAUAAGCACCGGCUAACUACGUGCCAGCAGCCGCGGUAAUACGUAGGGUGCAAGCGUUAAUCGGAAUUACUGGGCGUAAAGCGUGCGCAGGCGGUUCGGAAAGAAAGAUGUGAAAUCCCAGAGCUCAACUUUGGAACUGCAUUUUUAACUACCGGGCUAGAGUGUAUCAGAGGGAGGUGGAAUUCCGCGUGUAGCAGUGAAAUGCGUAGAUAUGCGGAGGAACACCGAUGGCGAAGGCAGCCUCCUGGGAUAACACUGACGCUCAUGCACGAAAGCGUGGGGAGCAAACAGG
rnacentral:rRNA from 1 species